rnacentral:rRNA from 1 species
UAACGAAUAUUCCGCAAUGCGCGAAAGCGUGACGGAGCAAUGCCGCGUGCAGGAUGAAGGGUUUCGCCGUGUAAACUGCUGUCAGGGACUAGUCAGUCCCAAAGGAAGAGACGGCUAACCCUGUGCCAGCAGCCGCGGUAAUACAGGGGUCUCGAGCGUUAAUCGGAAUCACUGGGCUUAAAGGGUGCGCAGGCGGACCAGAGGGUGUAUCGUGAAAGCCCCCGGCUCAACCGGGGAACUGCAACGCAAACCGCUGGUCUUGAGGUGGGUAGGGGUCGUUGGAACGCUCGGUGGAGCGGUGAAAUGCGUAGAUAUCGAGCGGAACGCCGAAGGUGAAGACAAGCGACUGGGCCCAUCCUGACGCUCAUGCACGAAAGCGUGGGGAUCAAACAGGAUUAGAUACCCUUGUAGU